AGGUGUCAACCAGUAACUUUAGGGCCAAGGAAGAGAGGUUUGCCUGUCCAUAGGCAAUCCCCCAAUCUACCUGGCCUGUACUGCGUGCUGGGGGGAUUUAGGUAUUGGGUGGUGGGUGUGGCUAGCUAUGUGGUCACAUUUGGCAGGUAGAUACACAAGAUGGAAGGGAACUGAUGUGAUCAUGUGAGCACCUUUAUGAACCUUUAGGGUUGAUGGGCAUUUCCAGAGUCUGACUACUCUAUGGGUUGGCUAUGAAGCACCAGUCUUGCUACUCUUACCUGCCUUGUAUGGGGAAUGGGAUUGAAAUAGCCUCCAUGUUCAUCUUAAGGGUAAGGUUAUGAUGUUUUUGUGUCUCCUGUUCACCGGUCAGGGUGGCUCACCCUAAGUAACUCAAUUAGAUUCCUCUCCCCACACCAUUACCUCUUUCUUCUGAGUUCUGUAAACAAUACAUAUUUCCCUAGAUCAGUAGAGGGUUGUGGGUGGCACUGUGGUCUAAACCACUAAGCCUCUUGGGCUUGCCAAUCAGAAGGUCAGCGGUUCGAAUCCCCAUGAUGGGGUGAGCUCUCAUUGCUCUGUCCCAGCUCCUGCCAACCUAGCAGUUCGAAAGCACGCCAGUGCAAGCAGAUAAAUAAGUACUAUCCAGGGGUCCUUUACCUUUUACCUUUACCUUAGUACAGUCCAUUUACAGUAUUGGCAUUUGGCCUCUUCACUGCCUAUUCCAGUUGCAAACCCAUCGGAUUUUGCUGUUAAUAUUUAUCAAAAGGAGAAAGAGGGGUAGAACUAAGGAAGGUUAUGUUUUUAUCUGUUGCAGAUAAAAAGUACAGAUGUGAAAGUCUAGAAAAAAAUAAUAGUAUCAGCUACAGGGUUGAAAUUCACACUCACACCAAACGCUUGUUCCUUUUGUUAUAUCCCCUCCCCGAAAAUUGUCUUUUACUGGGGGUGAAAGUGUGAAAAGCAUACCUUCUGCUUUAGUUCAGCACUACAUUAUACCAGAAGGGACACGGGUGGCGCUGUGGGUUAAAUCACAGAGCCUAGGACUUGCCAAUCAGAAGGUCGGUGGUUCGAAUCCCUGCAACCGGGUGAGCGCCCGUUCCUUGGUCCCUGCUCCUGCCAACCUAGCAGUUCGAAAGCACGUCAAAGUGAAAGUAGAUAAAUAGGUACUGCUCCGGCGGGAAGGUAAACGGCGUUUUUGUGUGCUGCUCUGGUUCGCCAGAAGUGGCUAAGUCAUGCUGGCCACAUUACCCGGAAGCUGUACGCUGGCUCCCUCGGCCUGUAAAGCGAGAUGAGCGCCACAACCCCAGAGUCGGCCACGACUGGACCUAAUAGUCAGGGGUCCCUUUACCUUUACCUUACAUUGCACCAGAGCAUGAGAAAGUUUCCUUGAUCUUAUUUUUGCUCCCGUAUCCAGCCUUAGGCUACACAGGUAUUCAUACUUACCAUGGGGUAAGCCCUAUUAGAUACAGUGUUACUUACUUCGGAGUAUGUCUGUGCAGGGUUGCUCUCUAUCACUGUUGUCUUCCUUCUCUCCUGCUGUCACUCUCUUUUCUGAUGCUAAUGCCUUAAAUGUAGUCUAUUGAUUUCUACCGUUCUGAAAUAUUUGUAAAUGUUGCCUUUUCCCAAUAUGUUUAUACAGUGUGAAGCUUGACUUAAUCAUACAAAGCCAGCAUGAAGAUUUUAAUACUCAAAUUCACACACAUAUAAAGAGAAUGCUCC